rnacentral:lncRNA from 1 species
AAGCAGAGAAGUAGACAGCUUCAGGGGAGGCAGGGGUGAGCAGAGCUGCCAAGAGCAAAAAGAAACCAUUCAUAUCACCUUAGAUACCACGGCUCUUCCUACUCCAGGUGCUUCCUGGAGAGGUAUAGAUGCAAAACUAUAGGAGUCUUUAGAAGAAGCAACCAGCCGGACUGUCUUGAAACGCGAUCAGAAAAAGCCAAGAAUAGAGAUGGGGUUGUUCAGGAAAAAUCUGUGAGGACCCUCUUUUCUGAAUGUGUGAAUCAAUGUGACAUACGUAGAAGACCCACAAGAUUUUUGAGAAUGUUCUACCAUCAGAAACACUUCCAACUGGGCCUAAAAGGGACAGAGACAGAAAAAAAUGAAAGAAGAUUGUGAGACUGCCAGAAUUCUACAGUGUAUGCAAUGGUAUGAGGAACUGUUCCACAUUAAAGGAGACUAAGAAGACAUAACAACUCGAUGCAAUGUGUGAUUCUGGACUGGAUCUUGCAUUGGAGGAGAAAAUGCUAUAAAAGUGUCUUGCUCUUUCACCCAGGCUGGAGUGCAGUGGCGCCAUCUCAGCUCACUGCAACCUCCGCCUCCCGGAUUCAAGCGAUUAUCCUGCCUCAGUCUCCUGAGUAGCUGAGAUUACAGACACGUGCCACCAUGUCCAGCAUAUAUAUAUAUAUUUUUGUAGAGAUGGGGUUUCACCAUGUUGGCCAAGCUGGUCUCCUGACCUUGUGAUCUGCCCACCUUGGCCUUUUUUUCUCUAUGUUUCUCUGACUCAACCUUUGACACUUAGAAGGUAGCACACUUCCAACAUAUCCUUCCGUCUUCCAAGAUAUAGUCCAUACAACUUUCCAUAGUUCGAAUGUUUAUCCCCCAAACCUCAUGUUGAAAUUUGAUCCCCAAUGUUGGAAGUGGGGCCCGAUGGGAGGAAUUUGGGUCAUGGAGGUGGAUCCCUCAUGAAUGACUUGAUGUCCUCCUUGUGGUAAUGAGUGAGUUCUUGCUCCAUUAGUUCCUGAGAAAGCUGGUUGUUUAAAAACAAAAACAAAAACCUGUAAGCUCCCUUCCCUCUCUCUUUCUUGUCAUUUGGUCUCUGCACAUGCCAGCUCCCCUUCUCCUUCUGCCAUAAAUGGAAUUAACCUAAAGCCCUCACCAGAAGCAGACGCUGGCACUGUGCUUCCUGUGCAGUCUGCAGAACCGUAAACCAAAUAAAUCUCCUUUCGUUAUAAAUUACCCAGCCUCAGGUAUUCCUUUAUAGCAACACUAAACAGAUUAAGACACAACUGAAGACAAAAAAACAAAUAACAACAACAAAAGCAAAUAAAUAACUCUCUUCCUACCUCAGCUCAUGCAAGCUUUGCGGUUUACAUAUCAUCUCCUUAUAGUGUGGCUCAACUUAGCCUCUUUAACUUAUUGCAACUUUUAUCUCUAUUUAGGACAUUUAUAUAGGAUGGCCUAAGAACUAAGCAAGAAAGAACUCCUUUUCCUUUGGUUGCUGGUGCUUGUGGAAUGCUUGUGGUGCUAAAGUAUAAAGUUGUUUUUUUAAUCCUCAUAUUUGCAUAUAAGCCCCCUCUUCUCAAAAUUUUCCUCUGGCACCAUAUCCUCUUCCUUUAUCCUCUUCCCUUGUUUUAUUUUCAUCACUAGUCAAAAACUGACCAGAAUCAUAGCACAACAGUUGUACUACAAAACACUUAGAACCACAAAAAGGGAAGUAAAAGUUCACAAGUUUUAAAAUCAGUUAGACUUGAUAAAGAACACGUGUCAUUUGAAGUCUUCAAAAAUGCUCAUGAGCCCUAUUUUGAGAUUUCACACAGUCUCCAUCUACUUUUUCAUCCUCUUAUAAUUAAACCUGUUUUUCCUCAAGCACCACCAUUGAAGCCCAAAAUAUAAAAUGAUCUUAUUCAACGUUAUUGCUUUUGUUUAAUUAGUAGUAUAUGAUAAAUGUGUUCACUACUGUUUCACUGCAAAUGUAUAGUAUUUCAGUAACAUUAUUGGCUAUCCUAGGGGAGCCCAACCACCAUUUAUAACACUGCCUUGGUAGGAAAAUGCUUUCUGGAUUCCAAACAACUGACAUCUAAAGCAAAGUUUUCCCACUUGGGUAAUCAGGAUUCAAACAAUAAUAUGCCCUACAUCUGUCUACAGCCAUUUGUAAGAUAGGGACUGCCUGUAUUUGAAAAACACACGCUGAUAUGUUGCUUUUAAUCAGGGAAAAAAAUGUUUGGAUGAUGAAGUUCCAUGCCUAGAUUUCUCUUCCUAGUUUUCAAUUACAUUCCUCCAUUCUAUCAGAUUAGACUCAUGUAAAUCCUAAAGAAAAUUCUGUCAGUACAAUAUAUGCUCUACUUUUAAUCUUAAAAAUAAUUUUCAUGUACGACCCAGUUAAGUAUUUGGGUUACAGAAACCUCUCAAUAACUACAGUAAUCACAGUUUUUCAGAACCAAGUAGAUGUAUUAGGACAGAUGUUUUGUUUUCAAAAUUCUAACUAAUGAAUUUAGAAUUUUUCUUUCGCUUGCAGUGGGCCUGAUCAACAUGCUACUAUUAUAUGUCGUUGCCUACCAGCAUUAAUUAGUCCGGGAACAGUAGAGGAGAAAAUGGACAAUGGUUAUUUGCAGGGUUGGGGCUAGGAGCAGCUGAGAAUUGGGUAGAGAAUGAAUGAGGAGUGCUUUUGAGUACGUACUGACAUGUUGGACAGCAGAGUCAUAGUUGGGUAGGGACAGAAAUGAGAUAGAUGGAAAAGUUGAAUGGGAAAAAGGCUUGUAGAAUACCAAACGGAAAAGCAGAAGCAGAGUGGGUGUGGACUAGGAAAGGUGGAAGGAAGUGGACAUGUUCAAAUAAGAGAAUUUUAGAGUACUUGGAGGUACAACAGUUUCAAGAGAUAAUGAAAUCUAAAUUGGUAACCAAUGGUUCUAGGGAAUCAAUGAGAAGCUUGAGUCAAAGUUGACUCAGAGUUUGAACUUAGGUGACUGGGCUUAUUACUGUUAGAGAUGGAGAAGGUAGAAGGAGUAACACACUUUGGAGGCAAGACAUACUUAGCACUAUGCUGGAAUGGAUACUAAAAAUAGUACAGUAUUCAAUGUCUAUUCUUACCUUUUGUUACCAAGUGCUAAAUGGAUUUGGUGACUUUUUUUUUUUUUUUUGGCAUUCCUUCUCAUAUGGCCUGACCACAAUUUCUUUUUUCUAUUCCCAUGGAUUCAACAAGAAGAGAUACUAUUUUAAGACUUCAAGAGCAGUGGCAUUUUUGCCCUUCAGUUUGGCAGGUCACUUUAGGAUAACCAUUCGAAGCAACCUCAUGUUCGGUGUCACAAUCUUCUGUAUAGAGCAAUCUUUGCAUGCCUGUUUCAAAGACAUUUGUGGAGGCUAUGAUCUGCUCAGGGGAAGAAAAGCUUUCUCAGAGAAAACCACACACUCCUGCUUGAGGUCAUUUUUGUUAGGAAACACGUCUGACAAGACUCCACUGAUACUAACUAAACCUGCCAUUCCAGGGUAAAGUUGUCUAAAGAUGAUGAUGAACUUCUCUGGAUAGUCAAAAUUGUGAAGUGGUUGCCAGAGGCCUGGUUUGCUGACAUUGAUCAAGGUCAAAUUUAUGUACUCAAAGUAGGAAAUAAGAAACACUUUUCAUUUAUUGCAGUCAUGCAAAUUAAGUUCACACUCAAGCGGCAUAUGACAAAUAAGCCACAGGCAAAAAGAGUUUCUAUCAAAAUAUUCAACAUAUAGUUCAGAGCAUGAGCAGUUUAUCUAGCCCCAGAUGCUCCCUGUGUCAUCAGUAUCAAAAAGGCAAAGUCAGAUAAAACUGUACUGGAAUAUGAGACUACAUGUGGGCUGGUAUAUUACUGCCCUUUUGUGUUUUUAUUUCUCCUAAUAAAUUAUAAGGUUGAUAUCUAAAGUAAAAGAAUAUUGUAUUCUUUGAUAUACUUAUACUGUACCUCAAGGCUACCCUUUGUUUGCUGUUUGUUCUUUUGUUCAUUCAUCUACUCAUUUAUUCAAAAAUGUCUGAAGGGCCUAUUAAGUUCCCAAUGACAUGCUUAAUGCCGGAUCUACAAAGAUAAAUAAGACAUGCUCCCAAUGAGCUCACUAUCUAAUAGGAAAGACAGGCAGGUAAAGAAACAAAGACAAAGCAGUGUGGGAAUUCAGUGGGAACAACAUGCUGAAAGCACCAUGCAAGAACUGAGAAAGUAUAUUCAUAGCCCCCCGGUGAUGGGGCCGAAUUGAGUUUUAAAAGGAUGAGCAGGAGUUCAUCCAAUGAAAAGAACAAGGGAGGGCAGUCCAGGCAGGGGGACACAGUGGGCAAAAUUAUAAAAGAAUGCAGGGAUUUGAAGGGGGACAAGACUGGAAGCUGGAAUGCCAUUUAGAAGAUUGCUGCAGUUGUCUCAGCAACAGUUGGUAAAACAUGGGAAUAGGACAAUGGUAGUUAGGAAGCCACAGAGGUGACACAUUCAAGAAAUAUUUAGGAAGGAAAACGGGCAGGAUACAGAGAUUGUGAGAUGUGGAGAUUUAUAGAGAAGGAAGAAUCAAGGUUCACACCCAGUUCCCUGCUAGAGUGAGUAGCUGGAUGGUGGUGCCGCCUACAAAGAAUCAAAAACGGAAUAGAUUUUAGAAGAAAAAGCAGAGUUAAGAUUUUGACAUGAACUGAAGGUGCCUAUUGAACAUCUAGGUAGAAUUGUCCAGCAGGCAUUUCAUUAUGCAAGCCUUAAGUUCCAGGAAGAACUGUAGGCUAUAGCUACGGAGUUAGAAAUGAUUUGCAUAUAGACAGUUAAAAAUAUGAGAGUGGGUGAAAUCACACAGAAAGAUUCUUGUGUAGAGUGUGAGGGUUGAACCUUGGUGAACAAAAGCAUUUAAUGUACAAGGAGAAAAAGAAACAUCAAUGAUGAGGAUGAAUCAAAAGGUAUCAGAAAAAUCAGGAAACGUAUGUUGUUGUCACAAAAACAACAAUAAAUUUCAACUUUGUAGAGAAAUCCACAACUAUGGAGAUGACAGAUUCUGAAUUUUUUCUAGGGUUGUGUUCUAGUAGAGUUACAGUAAAGGUGCAAUAUCUUAUCUAUGCCUCUAUUUCUGGGCAAGUAAGUGUCUGACUCAUUGUAAGUUUUCAACAAAUAUUUACUGAAUGAAUGUAUGUCAAUGUGAAGAAUAUAUGUUGUUAAGUAAAAUAUAAAGGCACAUGGACAUGGAAAGCACUUAAGUCAUUUUUACUAUGGUA